AUACGUAGGGUGCAAGCGUUAAUCGGAAUUACUGGGCGUAAAGCGUGCGCAGGCGGUUUUGUGAGACAGAGGUGAAAUCCACGGGCUCAACCUGGGAUCUGCCAUUGUGACUGCAAGGCCCGCGGGCGGCAGAGGGGGGUGGGAUUCCGCGUGGCGCGGUGAUAUGCGUAGAUAGGCGGAGGAACCCCGAUGGCGAAGGCAAUCCCCUGGGCCUGCACUGACGCUCAUGCACGAAAGCGUGGGGAGCAAACAGGAUUAGAUACCCUGGUAGUCCACGCCCUAAACGAUGUCAACUGGUUGUUGGGUCUUCAUUGACUCAGUAACGAAGCUAACGCGUGAAGUUGACCGCCUGGGGAGUACGGCCGCAAGGUUGAAACUCAAAUGAAUUGACGGGG
rnacentral:rRNA from 1 species